CGCUUAUGGGGAAAGUGAGCUACUUGCGUUUCCAAAGACUGCCGAGCCGAAUUACUCCCAUUUAUUUUUUGAAGGUUAUGAUCCCCCACUUUGCUUUCUGAAGGUCAUGACCCCCUUUUACGUUUUGAACGUGAUGACCCCUUUCCCAGCUCGCCCUCAACAUUCUGCUUGGGAAAAAAGGACGUCCAUUGGAAACACUGGACUUGGGAGAGAGGAUCAGGCUACCAGUUGGAUGUUUAUGGCUGACUGAGACGUUGCCCAGAGAAAGGGUGAAUGCCUCUCGAGAAGUGGAGCCCGUAGAACCUGAAAACUGCCGCCUUAUUGAGGAACUUGAAAGCGGCUCUGAAGAUAUUGAUAUACUUCCUAGUGGGCUGGCUUUUAUCUCCAGU
rnacentral:sRNA from 1 species